GAUGAACGAAGGUCUUGCGGGGUUGGAACAACAUGAGGGUAUAUCCAUGAGAUAUGGUUGCUGAAAAGGGGAUAAUAUCCAUCCACUGGCUUCCUCACUUUUGUAUUUGCCAUGCAUACCUGUGACCGGGUUAGGUCGGUGUUGGCCGGAACGCGCUAGCAUUGUGCUAUUGUGUGACGUCAUCACAUUUUUGAACGGAUUUUUCGAACAG